rnacentral:rRNA from 1 species
GAACCCUGAUGCAGCAACGCCGCGUGAGUGAAGAAGGCAUUCGUGUCGUAAAACUCUGUAGUAGGGGAAGAAAGAAAUGACAGUACCCUAAAAGAAAGCCCCGGCUAACUACGUGCCAGCAGCCGCGGUAAUACGUAGGGGGCAAGCGUUAUCCGGAAUAACUGGGCGUAAAGGGUGCGCAGGUGGUUUAACAAGUUAGUGGUGAAAGGCAUAGGCUCAACCAAUGUAAGCCAUUAAAACUGUUUAACUUGAGUGCAGGAGAGGAAAGUGGAAUUCCUAGUGUAGCGGUGAAAUGCGUAGAUAUUAGGAGGAAUACCAGUGGCGAAGGCGACUUUCUGGACUGCAACUGACACUGAGGCACGAAAGCGUGGGGAGCAAACAGGAUUAGAUACCCUGGUAGUCCACGCCGUAAACGAUGAGUACUAGGUGUCGGGUGAAGAACUCGGUGCCGAAGUUAACACAUUAAGUACUCCGCCUGGGGAGUACGCUCGCAAGAGUAAAACUCAAAGGAAUUGACGGGGACCCGCACAAGCAGCGGAGCAUGUGGUUUAAUUCGAAGCAAGCGAAGAACCU